GCCAGGGACCUUUUCAAGUAGGGAAAUUGA
rnacentral:piRNA from 1 species